GAAACAGAAGAAGAAAAAAACAAAGGAAACACAGAAAAUACGUCAGCUGCACUGGGCAAUUUUUUUUUUCCGUUUCCAUAGUUUUUUCUUCUUUU
rnacentral:ribozyme from 1 species